UACGUAGGUGGCAAGCGUUGUCCGGAUUUACUGGGCGUAAAGAGCGCGCAGGCGGUCGUUCAAGUCGCGUGUGAAAGCCCCCGGCUCAACUGGGGAGGGUCACGCGAUACUGAUCGACUCGAAGGCAGGAGAGGGUAGUGGAAUUCCCGGUGUAGUGGUGAAAUGCGUAGAUAUUCGGAAGAACACCAGUGGCGAAGGCGACUCACUGGACACGUAUUGACGCUGAGGUGCGAAAGCGUGGGGAGCAAACAGG
rnacentral:rRNA from 1 species